rnacentral:rRNA from 1 species
CGCAAGUGCGAUAAGGGGACCCCAAGUGCGAGGGCAUAUAGUCCUCGCUUUUCUCGACUGUAAGGCGGUCGAGGAAUAAGAGCUGGGCAAGACCGGUGCCAGCCGCCGCGGUAAUACCGGCAGCUCAAGUGAUGACCGAUAUUAUUGGGCCUAAAGCGUCCGUAGCCGGCCACGAAGGUUCAUCGGGAAAUCCGCCAGCUCAACUGGCGGGCGUCCGGUGAAAACCACGUGGCUUGGGACCGGAAGGCUCGAGGGGUACGUCCGGGGUAGGAGUGAAAUCCUGUAAUCCUGGACGGACCACCGAUGGCGAAAGCACCUCGAGAAGACGGAUCCGACGGUG